rnacentral:tRNA from 1 species
GGAGGGUUAGCUCAGCUGGGAGAGCACUUGCCUUACAAGCAAGGGGUCGGCGGUUCGAACCCGUCACCCUCCACCA